rnacentral:rRNA from 1 species
UACGGAGGGUGCAAGCGUUAUCCGGAUGCACUGGGGUUAAAGGGUGCGUAGGUGGGCAGGUAAGUCAGUGGUGAAAUCUCCGAGCUUAACUCGGAAACUGCCGUUGAUACUAUUUGUCUUGAAUAUUGUGGAGGUAAGCGGAAUAUGUCAUGUAGCGGUGAAGUGCUUAGAUAUGACAUAGAACACCAAUUGCGAAGGCAGCUUACUACACAACGAUUGACGCUGAGGCACGAAAGCGUGGGGAUCAAACAGG